UAUCCGUUAGGCUACGACGACUUCACAAG
rnacentral:sRNA from 1 species